CCUUGAGGGGAAGCCCAAAAGGGAAAGCACUAAGAGGACAAUAUCUGCUAAUGGUGGAUCCGAGUCGUUACAAAACGUAAGCUCUUGAGAGUCAUUUGGUGUUUUGGUUCGGAAUUAGGAAUCGUGAGGUUCUAAAACUCAUGGAGUUGAUUGACUUUAGUCGAAAACUCGGGAGGGUUUAGUUUGGAGUAGGUGGUUAUAUUUACUCUUAAAGGUCUUAAGUGUUGACUUUUUGGUUCGUUUCUUCUUUUUUUUUUUUUUUUUUGGUGUCUACCGCAGGCUACAAUUUCUCCUUGGGCCUAAGGCCCAAACUAGAUUUAAUGGUUUCCUCUUCGACCCUUAUUUCUUUCAUAAUUUACCUUUGCACCACAAUACUUUCGAGUCAGCUUCAUCCCGAGCCUAUUUGGAAUGACUUUUUUGUAAAUAGUUUUUUUUAAUAGCUUACGAGUAAUCGUAGAGUCCACUUUCCACUUAGUAA